AUUGUACGCUGGCGGCAUGCUUUACACAUGCAAGUCGAGCGGCAGCGCGGGGGCAACCCUGGCGGCGAGCGGCGAACGGGUGAGUAAUGCAUCGGAACGUGUCCCGUAGUGGGGGAUAACCCGGCGAAAGCCGGACUAAUACCGCAUAUUUCUCUACGGAGGAAAGGGGGGGACCCGCAAGGGCCUCUCGCUAUGGGAGCGGCCGAUGUCCGAUUAGCUUGUUGGUGAGGUAAUGGCUUACCAAGGCGACGAUCGGUAGCUGGUCUGAGAGGAUGAUCAGCCACACUGGGACUGAGACACGGCCCAGACUCCUACGGGAGGCAGCAGUGGGGAAUUUUGGACAAUGGGGGCAACCCUGAUCCAGCCAUGCCGCGUGCGGGAAGAAGGCCUUCGGGUUGUAAACCGCUUUUGUCCGGAAAGAAAAGGCGCCUCCUAAUACGGGGCGUUCUUGACGGUACCGGAAGAAUAAGCACCGGCUAACUACGUGUCAGCCGCCGCGGUAAUAC
rnacentral:rRNA from 1 species